UACAUAGGGGGCAAGCGUUGUCCGGAAUUAUUGGGUGUAAAGGGUGCGUAGACGGAGAAACAAGUUGGUUGUGAAAUCCCUCGGCUCAACCGAGGAACUGCAACCAAAACUAUUUCCCUUGAGUGUCGGAGAGGAAAGUGGAAUUCCUAGUGUAGCGGUGAAAUGCGUAGAUAUUAGGAGGAACACCAGUGGCGAAGGCGACUUUCUGGACGAUAACUGACGUUGAGGCACGAAAGUGUGGGGAGCAAACAGG
rnacentral:rRNA from 1 species